UGCUGGUUAACCGGCGCACGGGUGAGUACACGUAUGCAACCUACCCAUAACAGGGGAUAGCCCUAAGAAAUUGGGAUUAAUACCGCAUAAAACAGGGUGUGCCGCAUGGCAAUAUUUGUUAACAGUGCGAGAGUUGGUUAUGGAUGGGCAUGCGCAGGAUUAGGUAGUUGGUGCGGGUAACGGCCUACCAAGCCUACGAUCCUUAGGGGAACUGAGAGGUUGGUCCCCCACACUGGUACUGACGACAGGGACCAGACUCCUACGGGAGGCAGCAGUGAGGAAUAUUGGUCAAUGGUCGAAAGACUGAACCAGCCAAAUCGCGUGAAGGAUGACGGUACUAAGUAUUGUAAACUUCUUUAUGUUCGGGGGUAACAGGUUGGGACGUGUCCUGAUUUGCAAGUACCGGACGACUAAAGCAUCGGGCUUAACUCCGUUGCCAGCAAAACAG
rnacentral:rRNA from 1 species